UACGUAGGUGGCAAGCGUUGUCCGGAUUUACUGGGCGUAAAGGGCGUGCAGGCGGUUUGUUAAGUGCAGGGUGAAAGCUCCCGGCUCAACUGGGAGAGGUCCUUGCAUACUGGCAAACUCGAGGGAGGCAGAGGAAAGUGGAAUUCCCGGUGUAGUGGUGAUAUGCGUAGAUAUCGGGAGGAACACCUGUGACGAAGGCGGCUUUCUGGGCCUUACCUGACGCUGAGACGCGAAAGCGUGGGGAGCGAACCGGAGUUAG
rnacentral:rRNA from 1 species